CUUCCUCUUAUAGACAAGAAGAACACAAAGACUCUGCGCUUGAUGGAACCAGAACCACAUGGACCCAAGACCAGAGUCAUCAGAGGCAGUGCAGCUCAGGAUUCUUUAAGGAGCCUUCAAUGCUUCAUCUAAUUAAAUCAACUUCUGAUUGGAGAGAGUCCUCAACACCCAGAAGACUUCAUCUCUACUGUGGUCGGAUCAAGAAUUGGCACCAGGGUGGAGGGAGGUGUCAGGAAGGCAAGGCCCUCAUCCUCUAAAUGGCCUGGCACACUUACACCGCCAGAACCUUCACCUUGAUUGGUGGGAGCCUUUCAUAAGGUUUAGUGGCCGUUCCAAACGUUUUUGACAACAAAAUAAAAACCAAC